UAUGCUUUUUAUGGCUUUGGCCAUUAUGUCUGUUAUGUCUUAGUUUCCUGUUUUUACCAGAAUGGCAAAUGCACUCACGUGUUGCCUUCUCCUCCUUCUCCUCCUAUAUUCUAAUGUACACCUGUCUUUUGCUCAAUAGUGUGAUAUCUGUCUCUAUAUGUCUAAGUACUAACUCCUACAAAUCCUGUCAGAAGACGCAUGCUGAACCCCCUCUAGUGAAUGGACACCAUGAUGUCAGGGUUAACGAUGAGACUAAGGAAGUGACUUCUGGUGCACAGAGUCCAGGACCUCCUCAGAUGAAUGGAGGACCUCCCAUGUCUAACAGAGCUGCAGAGGAGACCACUGCUCUAUUGGACAAACAGCCUUGGACAAGGACCAAGUCACCAAACCUCCUGAGUUAAUAGACAAAGGAACUAAUGACAUGGAGUCAAGAAGAGGAGAACUGUAACAAACGGUAGACGUUUGUAUAGCAAAAGAAAACCUAAUAAGAUAUAAGAUACAGUAAUAUAUGUAUACAGUACUUAUUAUAAGAUACACAUUUGUGACUUGCUUAAUCAUAAUUAGUCUUGUCAACCCCAAGAACAUAAUCUUAGCAGUGUUUAACUGAACAGUGAUUUUCAGAAACCUCAACAGUUUAUUAAGUUAAUUCUCUAUGUGACAGCUGUAAUCUGGAUAGGUUAGGGAACGUGUUCAGUUGAAAUUCCAAAACAGCCCAAGACUUGUAGAAUUAUUAUUAUCUACAUUUUGUAUGACUCUUAUCUGAAAAUGAGUGUGACUUAUGACUGAUUAUGGUACAGCAUUUAAAAUCUUAGCUAAACAACAUUAUAAUGAUAUGAAGGUAAGUUAAGAUCAUACUUACACUAGUAUUGUAUACUAUUCAUACAAGCAAAUAUAUAUCACAUACACAUGAGUACCGUAAUUUCCGGACUAUAAGCCGCUACUUUUUUUUACCACGCUAUGAACCUCGGGUUUAUACAAUGACGCGGCUAAUUUAUUAUUAUUAUUUUUUUUCACAAGAUUCACGCCGCCAAAAAAUUGAGCACCGUCACAUAAUGUGACGUAAAUCGAGCGCGCU